GGCCUCACUGUGUCUCCUAUAACCC
rnacentral:piRNA from 1 species